rnacentral:lncRNA from 1 species
GUCUGACUAAUAUUAAGAAGUUGGUCAAGUUUAUUAGAUAUCAACAUAACUUAUAUCUCAAAUUAAUAUAAAAAGUUCAAUAGUAAUUGAAAUAAAAACUUAAUAUUUUAACUAUUUAAAAAAAAAAACACGCUUAUUUAAUCUGUUAAUCUCCUGUAUUUAGCAUGUCAGUAAUUCAUUAAUUGCAGCCCAGUAUGCUCAUUGAAAUUGAAGUUAUCGGAAGUAAACAUAAUGUGGGAGAACAAUUGUCAUAGCAUAUUUAGGAACUUUACAAAAAAAAAUGCAUAUGCAAAGGAACAUGCAUGAACAAAACAUGUUAAUGUAAAAAAAUAUGACGUUCCUUGUGGUAGCAAGACUAGUGUCACCUUGGGCCAGAGUAACAAAAUAGGAUUCAGAUAUACAAUUAAACAAAUAUUUAAUGUCAAUUGUUCGCUUAUUCACUUCAUCCAUCUAUUUGUAAUAAUAACAAUUUGUAUAACUAAAAAUAAAGAUUUUGAUAAAUAUUUGUUUUUAACCCAUAUGAUCUCAAAACAUGUCUGGUCAGCUGGACCGUACGCGUAUACUCAUACGGUCC